CAGGCACCGGGACAAUCCCUCGCACCAGCACGUUUCCCAUUCGCAGCCCAGCAUUAACUUCCCGCAUCCAGUCUUUGGAUAAUCCCAGAGCUUUACCAGAAGCAGACUGUGUUAUGGUGCAGAGAUGAGUUGCUUAAAGCUCCCCACCACAGAAGAGAUUCACGGCUCCAUUCCUCACACCUCCUCCCAGCCACAUCUUCCUUCCCCUUGCAGGGCUCGCCAGGCUUGUGUCCAGUCCUGCUGGGGACAGAAGGUUUUCCACACAGUACCUGCUCCACAGAGGAGGCUCCUCAAGCAGCUGGUCCCUGCAAGCUCCCAGAGAAGUCUUCCUUAAAUACACGAACCUGCCCAAGUCAAACAAGCAGAGCAACCUUUCCUCAGCUUCUAUAACUGACAUGACCAUUUGGACAUUACUAGUCCAAAAAGAAGUGCAGUUCAACCAGAUCCUUUCCUCCCUUAAUAAAAAAGUUCCUUCAGAUGCAUUUUGAAAAUCUAAAAUCUAUAAAAGUAAAGCCAGUUCAUGUGGUGGUGGGCAUCUCAUAAGUGUCCUUGUAAACACAGGAAUCCUAUUAACUUACUCUUGGUGACAAUGACAGAGCAAAUCUCAGAAAGGACAUGUGCACACUAAAUUUGUACCUCUGCUUUUUUAGCUGUGAAGCCAUUAAAAAGUACAGGAACUUUGUCCACA